AUUUAUACAACUCAUGAAGCAAGAAAAAGUGAAGGCAUAAGCCAAUUGCCCUGAAGAGCCUGAAGCAACAGUCAUGUUUGAAGGAACCACAUUCCGGAAAAGAGAAUUUCGAUGAGACUUGAGUCAGAGCAAUCUGUCGUGCUGCACCUCUUCUUGCCAUAAAUCAAGUCUGAGCAAUUCGUCGAGCUGCACCUCUUUGCAAUUAUAUCGAUGGAUAUAUAUGUAUGGUUCUAAUUUUGUUCAAGUUGCGGCUGCGCCUUUAUCUAGUCUAAAGACAUAAUACUAAAUUUAUUUGGUGUGUGUAAUAGUACUCUGUGGUAUGGAACUUGUAAUAAUACAC
rnacentral:lncRNA from 1 species